rnacentral:rRNA from 1 species
CAGCAGCCGCGGUAAGACAGAGGAUGCAAGCGUUAUCCGGAAUGAUUGGGCGUAAAGCGUGCGCAGGCGGUUCGUUAAGACAGAUGUGAAAUCCCCGGGCUUAACCUGGGAACUGCAUUUGUGACUGGCGGGCUAGAGUAUGGCAGAGGGGGGUAGAAUUCCACGUGUAGCAGUGAAAUGCGUAGGGAUGUGGAGGAAUACCGAUGGCGAAGGCAGCCCCCUGGGUCAAUACUGACGCUCAUGCACGAAAGCGUGGGGAGCAAACAGGAUUAGAUACCCCCGUAGUCCCUGUCUCUUAUAC